rnacentral:misc_RNA from 1 species
CAAGAAUCGAGGCUGACGGUGCCUACUCCCUAGGCUCCGUCCAGUCCCGCUCUCUACCUUGCCUACUGCACCGUUUGUUGCUUCCUGGCGGCGUCCCGUCGCCAGUGCCUUUUGAAAGCCAAGUAUAAGCAUUGAAACUUCUGACAUACACUAAAUCGUA